rnacentral:rRNA from 1 species
UACGUAGGGUGCGAGCGUUAAUCGGAAUUACUGGGCGUAAAGUGUGCGCAGGUGGCCGCGCAAGUCGAGUGUGAAAUCCCCGAGCUUAACUUGGGAAUUGCGCUCGAAACUACGUGGCUCGAGUGUGGCAGAGGAAGGUGGAAUUCCACGUGUAGCGGUGAAAUGCGUAGAGAUGUGGAGGAACACCGAUAGCGAAGGCAGCCUUCUGGGCCAACACUGACGCUCAUGCACGAAAGCGUGGGGAGCAAACAGG